rfam:Triticum aestivum genome assembly, contig: Triticum_aestivum_CS42_TGACv1_scaffold_289395_4AL
AUCCUACUCCCUCCGUCCCAAAACUCUUGUCUUAGAUUUGUCUAGAUACAAGAUACAUCCGAUCCAGACAAAUCUAAGACGAGAAUUUUGGGACGGAGGGAGUAUUAA